UACGUAGGUGGCAAGCGUUGUCCGGAAUUACUGGGUGUAAAGGGAGCGUAGGCGGGAAGCCAAGUCAGCUGUGAAAACUACGGGCUUAACUUGUAGACUGCAGUUGAAACUGGUUUUCUUGAGUGAAGUAGAGGUUGGCGGAAUUCCGAGUGUAGCGGUGAAAUGCGUAGAUAUUCGGAGGAACACCGGUGGCGAAGGCGGCCAACUGGGCUUUAACUGACGCUGAGGCUCGAAAGUGUGGGGAGCAAACAGG
rnacentral:rRNA from 1 species